GGAGGCAUACCCAAGCGGUUGAAGGGGUCGGUCUUGAAAACCGAUAGUGGGAUCAUAUCCCAGCUAGAGUUCGAAUCUCUAUGCCUCCGCCA
rnacentral:tRNA from 1 species